CUAAAAGCCAAGAUGUAGUCAGCACCAUGUCUACCUGCACACCAACAUGUUCCCCACCGUGAUGAUAAUGGACGGAACCUCAGAAACUAGGCAGAGACCGUUUGAGGCCAGCCUGAUCUACAGAGCAAGUUCCUGGACAGGCUCCAAAGCUACAGAGAAACCCUGUCUCAAAAAAGCAAAACAAAACAAAACAAAAAACCUCGGGAGGCAGAUACUGAGGUAAAAACCUGAUUGAUCGAAGAAGUAGAGGAGAAGCGACCAAUGACCCCCUCUCCUUCCCCAAUCUAAAAGGGCUGCAAUUCUUUCAAGCUCCUCCCUACUACUUCCUAUGUCUCUCUAUAUGUAUCCUGGAGCCUCCAAAAUCUCUAUGUCUAAUUCUGAUCAGCCAGUUUCUAACUCUGCCCCUGAAUCAAAUUUAAACUUUAAUGGUAGUCUCAGAGUGUCAGUAUGAGCAAAUAUCCUGCAAUAUUUCCCCUUCUUUUGUCUAAAUAAAAAGGAAAGGUUUUAACUCUAACAUAGUAAAACUAUAUACAAUAAGAACAAUUG
rnacentral:lncRNA from 1 species